GAUGAACGCUGGCGGCGUGCCUAAUACAUGCAAGUCGAGCGAACAGACGAGGAGCUUGCUCCUCUGACGUUAGCGGCGGACGGGUGAGUAACACGUGGAUAACCUACCUAUAAGACUGGGAUAACUUCGGGAAACCGGAGCUAAUACCGGAUAACAUGUUGAACCGCAUGGUUCAACAGUGAAAGCCGGUCUUGCUGUCACUUAUAGAUGGAUCCGCGCCGCAUUAGCUAGUUGGUAAGGUAACGGCUUACCAAGGCAACGAUGCGUAGCCGACCUGAGAGGGUGAUCGGCCACACUGGAACUGAGACACGGUCCAGACUCCUACGGGAGGCAGCAGUAGGGAAUCUUGCGCGAUGGGCGAAAGCCUGACGGAGCAACGCCGCGUGAGUGAAGAAGGCCUUCGGAUCGUAAAACUCUGUUAUUAGGGAAGAACAAAUGUGUAAGUAACUAUGCACGUCUUGACGGUACCUAAUCAGAAAGCCACGGCUAACUACGUG
rnacentral:rRNA from 1 species